CUUCGGCCUUCAGUUACAAAACCCAAACGCGGCUACUGUUUUCCAUUCAACAAAACUCAAAAGGCACUUUCUUUUGCUUAUACGCCCUUUCUUCCUGUUCUUCCUUCCAUUCUCUUCGAUUCAUCAAGUCAAACUUUAGAAUUUUUUUGGCUCAGUCGUUUCCCAACAAAAGCUACAACUUUUUGCCGUUUCAAACAAAACCCCGUGUCAUCAAUUUCUUACAAAAUUACUCACCCAAUUCAUAAUGUCGAAGCACACCAACUUUCGCAAAACAUAAAUUAGUCAAUAGAGUAGAAGACUUCCGCCCAUCUAUCGUGCCAUUUCAAACCAAAAAUUCAAGAUCUUCAAUUUCGUAGCAGCAAAGGCACAUAAGAAAUUACUAAAGGAGAAGAAGUUUAUGGUCUGUGAGAAAAAUGUGAAGUGUUGCAGGGUGAGAUGACACAUAAGAGAAGUUGUAUUUUCUUCUCUGUAAGGAGAUGAGGGUGGUGUCCAACUGGAGACAAGGUAGCAACGGAUGGAGAAGAGUAUCGAGUAAUUACAGUAACAAGAACUGAGGAUGGGGUAAAUUGCUACAUUGGUAGCAGGGACUAACGGAAUAGAUUAUGUCUUGGCCCGAGCCACUGAGAUGGGCUGAAGUUCAUGCUAAAAGAAACGGCUCAAGUGCGGCAAUUUGUUUAAUUACUAUUGUUGCUUGUGUGUAUCACCUUUGGAUUGAGAGGAAAGAGUUUUUUCAAGCAAAGCAGAUGGAGCCAAGGAGAAUAGUCACGAAAUUCAUUCAGGAGGUCUUCUACAAAGGAUCCAUGAAGAACAUAUUAAGUAGGAGUCGUGAGAAGUAAAACUUUUUUUUUGAUAGAUCAGUUGUAGUAGAAAUGAUAGGAGUAUCCGGUUGCAGGCUUGUAGCUUUGGAAAUGUCUAGCUGUGGUUUUUUCAUGUACGUAGGGUUACUGGUAAUUAAAAAAGUUAUUUACCAGAAAAAACAAUGAGAAGCGAAUUAAAUCAAAGAAUAAAUAUUAAGAUCGGUA